GGGUGCGAACAUACCAGCAUUAAUGAACUAUAUAUCAUCAUAAAUUCAUAGUUAAGUGUGCUUGGGAUAGAGUAGUACUAGGAUGGGUGACCUCCUGGGAAUUCUUAGUGUUGCACCCU
rnacentral:rRNA from 1 species